GACGUGACUCUUUACUGGUACAGUCGAAGACGUGACUCUUUACUGGUACGGUUAAAGACAUGGGUCUUUACUUCUACAGUUAAAGAAACAGAUCUUUAAUGGUACAUUGAAAGAACCGGCUCUUUCCUGAUACAGCUUAUAGCGUAAUACUUUACCGGUACAGUUAAAGGUAUAGAUCUUCAAAGGUACGGUUAAAGUCCUAGCACUUUACUGGUACGGUUAAGAGCAAUGUGCAGGUUGACAUUAGCAUUUGCACUCUAGCAUUUCUCUUACCUUUGGUUGCAUCAUGUUCGAGUUCUGUGGUCUGUGCGUGCACAUUGCAUUACAAAAAUGAUUCCAGUCGUAAUGCAAUUAAAUAUGACUUAACCUUUUUUAACCGAUUUGCAAUCGACCCAGGAAUGCCAACCUGCACGUUGCUCUGAAAGACCUAGCUCCUAACCAGUACAGACACCAAUGUUUCUUGUGCAGCACUAACACCCGAUGCCUCACUCCUCUUUCCGAGCUCCCCUGGCGCAGUACAGUGCCGGGCCAAAGGCCAACGUUCCUAACGCACUGUCAAUUACAGGCUGGCCCCCCCCCAGGACCAAGCGUUAAACUGGGCUAUUCUGGUCGUGCUAAUGCUGCUACUGCUGCUGCUGGCACUCUCAUGCAAUCCCCAGUAACCAGGGGGCAACACCCCCCUCUGCUGGGAACCCAGCACAGUGUGCUUCGUCUCUGAGAGUGACGCCCCUGACCCGGAGAGCCAGACCUGCCCUGCUGACGCUCCUGCGUGACCAGAACCCAAACUGUCUAAAUGACGUUAUUGAGGAGAGUCAAACUAGGCCAAAGCCAAGUGACGGAGGUCUCUUGACUUAAUUCCAAUGGGAAUGCAAUGCCGCCUCGUUUGAUGUUUUUGAUGGCAGAAUGCAGGGUAUAUAGAUUACAUUGUAGAUUGGAGGUCCUUGUGUUCAGUGUAGUUUGACUCAAACGCUGCUUUAGUGUCUGGAGGGGAUUCACUCACCUCCCAUGUUUCGUCAACCCAAAGAUCAAGUUAACACCAACCCGUUUAGCUGCAGCUCCCAUUUCAUUGGUGGUGUUUAGCAAACAAAUGACAAUGCGAGCUUCUGUCAACACUGCCGAGCCUAACCC
ensembl:lncRNA